rnacentral:tRNA from 1 species
GAGCAUAUAGCUUACUGGUAGAGUGCAUGCUUAGCACGCAGGUCCUGGGUUCAAUCCCCAGUACCUCCA